GACGAACGCUGGCGGCGUGCCUAAUACAUGCAAGUAGAACGCUGAAGGAGGAGCUUGCUUCUCUGGAUGAGUUGCGAACGGGUGAGUAACGCGUAGGUAACCUGCCUGGUAGCGGGGGAUAACUAUUGGAAACGAUAGCUAAUACCGCAUAAGAGUAGAUGUUGCAUGACAUUUGCUUAAAAGGUGCAAUUGCAUCACUACCAGAUGGACCUGCGUUGUAUUAGCUAGUUGGUGAGGUAACGGCUCACCAAGGCAACGAUACAUAGCCGACCUGAGAGGGUGAUCGGCCACACUGGGACUGAGACACGGCCCAGACUCCUACGGGAGGCAGCAGUAGGGAAUCUUCGGCAAUGGACGGAAGUCUGACCGAGCAACGCCGCGUGAGUGAAGAAGGUUUUCGGAUCGUAAAGCUCUGUUGUAAGAGAAGAACGGGUGUGAGAGUGGAAAGUUCACACUG
rnacentral:rRNA from 1 species